CCUGCCUGUGCCGUCCCCCCCCCCGCCCCCGCCCCCAAAGCAUCCAGGAAAUGCUCCUGCCUGACCGCAGCUCUGCGCAUCAGUAACCGGAUCUGAGGCCCGCGGUCAGGGGCCAACAGAUGGGCUCCAUCAAGGGCAGCGCUUGGUCAGAGCGUGAAGGGCCCCACGUGUGCUCCUCUCUGCGGCGACAGGAGAACGGGACGGCCCGGGAACGCGCAGUGUGUCAGGCACACGUUCAGGUGGCCCGCCUCCCGACAAAUAUCUGCGAAGCCCAGCUCUGCAGAUGCCACACCGGGUGCCGUGUGUACAGCCGCGAAGAAGCCAGCAGCCCAGAUCGCUGCCUCUUAAGGUGCUGACCGGUUCCCCUGGGCCACGGCCCACAGCCCCGCAGCUAGAACGGCAAAGCGUCGGUGGCAAGAACAUCCCCCUGGAUCCAAGCCCAGCUGUGAGACCCGGGACGGGAGCCACCGCAGUUGGGAGCCAAAGACAAACGUGAUUUGACUGAUGUUUUGUUUAAGCGAAGAAGGAAACUCUUAAGACUCCCAGGCCCGGGUGAGUCAGAGGUUGGGG